rnacentral:rRNA from 1 species
CGGGAUUAAACGAGGAGUUUACUUUUUGUUUAAUCUAGUGGCGGACGGGUGAGUAACGCGUGGAUAACCUGCCUAUUAGCCUGGGAUAACGCCUGGAAACGGGUGCUAAUACCGGAUACGCUCAUUUGGUUGCCUAGCCGGAUGAGGAAAGGAAUACCGCUAAUAGAUGGGUCCGCGUCCCAUUAGCUUGUUGGUAGGGUAACGGCCUACCAAGGCGACGAUGGGUAGCCGGCCUGAGAGGGCGACCGGCCACACUGGAACUGAGACACGGUCCAGACUCCUACGGGAGGCAGCAGUGGGGAAUCUUCCGCAAUGGGCGCAAGCCUGACGGAGCAACGCCGCGUGAGUGAUGAAGGCCUUCGGGUUGUAAAGCUCUGUCCAGGGGGAAGAAACAAAUGACGGUACCCCUGGAGGAAGCCCCGGCUAACUACGUGCCAGCAGCCGCGGUAAAACGUAGGGGGCAAGCGUUGUCCGGAAUUACUGGGCGUAAAGGGCGUGUAGGCGGCAAUGCAAGUCAGGAGUGAAACCCGUCGGCUUAACCGACGGCCUGCUUCUGAAACUGCAUAGCUUGAGUGCAGGAGAGGGAAGUGGAAUUCCCAGUGUAGCGGUGAAAUGCGUAGAUAUUGGGAGGAACACCAGUGGCGAAAGCGGCUUCCUGGCCUGUAACUGACGCUGAGGCGCGAAAGCGUGGGGAGCAAACAGGAUUAGAUACCCUGGUAGUCCACGCCGUAAACGAUGGGUGCUAGGUGUUGGGGGUAUCGACCCCUCCAGUGCCGCAGUUAACGCAAUAAGCACCCCGCCUGGGGAGUACGGCCGCA